ACUCCUACGGGAGGCAGCAGUGGGGAAUAUUGCACAAUGGGCGCAAGCCUGAUGCAGCAACGCCGCGUGAGCGAUGAAGGCCUUCGGUCGUAAAGCUCUGUCCUCAAGGAAGAAUAAAUAGACGGUACUUGAGGAGGAAGCCCGGCUAACUACGUGCCAGCAGCCGCGGUAAUACGUAGGGGGCAAGCGUUAUCCGGAAUCACUGGGGCGUAAAGGGGUGCGUAGGCGGUUUUCAAGUCAGAAGUGAAAGGCUAUGGCUCAACCAUAGUAAGCUUUUGAAACUGUUAAACUUGAGUGCAGGAGAGGAAAGUGGAAUUCCUAGUGUAGAGGUGAAAUUCGUAGAUAUUAGGAGGAACACCAGUGGCGAAGGCGAC
rnacentral:rRNA from 1 species